rnacentral:lncRNA from 1 species
GUUAUUAUAUGCUAAUUUAUACUCAUUUAAAUUGUUUUAGUUUAGAAAGUUUAGAAAAUGUUAAAAUAAUUAGAAAAAGAAUGUAAGAAAUCUAGUGGUCUUAUAUACACGGUUCAUUGUUGCCAAGGCUCCUUGAUUGACAAAGUGUUAAUUGAAUAGUAUGAAAUAAUUAUACUAAUUUAUCUUGCAUACCUAGUUGUUGAUGCCAUAGAAGUUGAGUUAUAAGUUGCAUUUCUGGAUGUCGAGUUAGGAAGUACAAUUGUGGUUGUACUUGUAGGUGCUGCAGUUGUAGUCGUUGUUGUAGGAUGAGAACUACCAGUUGUGGUGGUGGUUGUAGGACCUGCAGUAUUAAUUGUUGUAAUAGGUGUCGUAGGACCAACUAUUGUUGUCAUAGGAUUUACAGUUGCAGUAGAAAGAGCUGUUGUAGUUGUUGUAGAAGGUGCUGCAGUCGAUGUGGUCAUAAGAACAGCAGUUGUCACAGGAGCUGCACUGGCUGUCAUGGUAGGUUCUGCAGUCGUAGCAGUUGUAGGAGUAGGUUCUGUCGUAGCAGGUUCUGGAGUUGUAUCGGUCGUAGGAGUAGCAGUUGUUGUAGUUAGAGCUGCAGUGGUUGUCGUAGAAGCAGCUGCUGUGGUUGACGUAGAAGCUACAGUUGUUGUAGGAGCUGCACUGGUUGUCGUAGUUGGUUCUGGAGUUCUAGUGGUGGUAGGAGCAGCAGUUGUUGUAGUUAGGGCUGCGGUGGAAAUCGUAGGGGCUGCUGCUGUGGUUGAAGUAGAUGCUAAACUUGUUGAAAGAACUGCAGUUUUCGUGGGAGCUACUGUUGUUGUUGUGAUUGUCGUAGGAGCUGAAGUUGUAGUUGUUGUAGAAGGUGCUGCAUUCGCAGUGGUUGUAAGAAUAGCAGUUGUUGAAGUUAGAGCUGCAGUGGUUGUUGUAGAGGCAGCUGCUGUGGUUGACGUAGAAGCUACAGUUGUUGUAGCAGGAGCUGUAGUUGUGAUUGUUGUAGUAAGUACAGCAGGUGUAGUGGUCGUGUGAGCUACAGUUGUAGGAACUGCAGGUGUUGUAGUAGGUGCUGUUGUUGUGGUUGUCGUAGGAGCUGAAGUUGUAGUUGUUGUAGAAGGUGCUGCGGUCGUUGUGGUCGUAAGAACAGCAGUUGUUAUAGAAGGAGCUGCACUGGUUGUCGUAGUAGGUUCAGGAGUUGUAGUGGUCAUAAGAGCAGCAGUUGUUGUAGUUAGGACUGCAGUAGUUUUCGUAGGAGCAGCUGCUAUGGUUGAAGUAGAGGCUAAAGUUGUUGUAGGAGCAGCUGUUGUCGUGGGAACUACAGUUGUUGUAGGUGUUGCUGUUGUGGUUGUCGUAGGAGCUGAAGUUGUAAUUAUUAUAGAAGGUGCUGCUGUCACAGUGGUUGUAAGAAUAGCAGUUUUGGGAGCUGCAGUGCUUGUUGUAAUAGGUUCUGGAGUUGUAGUGGUCGUUGGAGCAGCAGUUGUUGUAGUUAGAGCUGCAAGGGUUGUCGUAGAGGCAGCUGCUGUGGUUGACGUAGAAGCUACAGUUAUUGUAGCAGGAGCUGUAGUUGUGAUUGUUGUAGUAAGUACAUCAGGUGUAGUGGUUGUGGGAACUACAGUUGUAGGAACUGCAGGUGUUGUAGUAGGUGCUGUUGUUGUGGUUGUCGUAGGAGCUGAAGUUGUAGUUGUUGUAGAAGGUGCUCCAGUCGUUGUGGUCGUAAGAACAGCAGUUGUUAUAGAAGGAGCUGCACUGGUUGUCGUAAUAGGUUCUGGAGUUGUAGUGGUCGUUGGAGCAGCAGUUGUUGUAGUUAGAGCUGCAGUGGUUGUCGUAAUAGGUUCUGGAGUUGUAGUGGUCGUUGGAGCAGCAGUUGUUGUAGUUAGGGCUGCAGUGGUUGUCGUAGGGGCAGCGGCUGUGGUUGAAGUAGAGGCUAAAGUUGUUGUAGGAGCUACAGUUGUUGUAGGUGUUGCUGUAGUGGUUGUUGUAGGAGCUGAAGUUGUAGUUGUUGUAGAAGGUGCUGCAGUCACAGUGGUUGUAAGAAUAGCAGUUGUUGUAGCAGAAGCUGCAGUGGUUGUUUUAAUAGGUUCUGGAGUUGUAGUGGUUGUUGGAGCAGCAAUUGUUGUAGUUAGAGAUGCAGUGGUUGUUGUAGAGGCAGUUGUACUGGUUGUUGGAGCAGCAGUUGUUGUAGUUGUUGUAGAAGGUGCUGCAGUCACAGUGGUCGUAAGAACAGCAGUUGUUGUAGUAGGAGCUGCACUGGUUGUGGUAGUAGGUUCUGGAGUUGUAGUGGUGGUAGGAGCAGCAGUUGUUGUAGUUAGAGCUGCCGUGGUUGUCGUAGAGGCAGCUGACGUAGAAGCUACAGUUGUUGUAGCAGGAGCUGUAGUUGUGAUUGCUGUAGUAAGUACAGCAGGGGUAGUGGUCGUGGGAGCUACAGUUGUAGGAACUGCAGGUGCUGUAGUAGGUGCUGUUGUUGUGGUUGUCGUAGGAGCUGAAGUUGUUGUAGAAGGUGCUGCGGUCGUUGGGGUUGUUAGAAUAGCAGUUGUUGUAGCAGGAGCUGCAGUGGUUGUCGAAAUAGGUUCUGGAGUUGUAGUGGUUGUUGGAGCAGCAGUUGUUGAAGUUAGAGCUGCAGUGGUUGUUGUAGAGGCAGCUGCUGUGGAUGAUGUAGAAGCUACAGUUGUUGUUGCUGUAGAAAGUACAGCAGGUGUAGUGGUUGUGGGAGCUACAGUUGUAGGAACUGCAGGUGUUGUAGUAGGUGCUGUUGUUGUGGUUGUCGUAGGAGCUGAAGUUGUAGUUGUUGUAGAAGGUGCUGCGGUCGUUGUGGUCGUAGGAGCUAAACUGGUUGUUGUAGUAGGUUCUGGAGUUGUAGUGGUCGUUGGAGCAGCAGUUGUUGUAGUUAGGGCUGCAGUAGUUGUCGUAGCUGCUGCUGCUGUGGUUGAAGUAGAGGCUAAAGUUGUUGUAGGAGCUGCAGUUGUCGUGGGAGCUACAGUUGUUGUAGGUGUUGCUGUUGUGGUUGUCGUUGGAGCUGAAGUUGUAGUUGUUGUAGAAGGUGCUUCGGUCGUUGUGGUUGUAAGAACAGCAAUUGUUGUAGUAGGAGCUGCACUGGUUGUCGUAGUAGGUUCUGGAGUUGUAGUGGUCGUAGGAGCAGCAGUUGUUGUAGUUAGGGCUGCAGUAGUUGUCGUAGCGGCUGCUGCUGUGGUUGAAGUAGAGGCUAAAGUUGUUGUAGGAGCUGCAGUUGUUGUGGGAGCUACAGUAGUUGUAGGUGUUGCUGUUGUGGUUGUCGUAGGAGCUGAAGUUGUAGUUGUUGUAGAAGGUGCUUCGGUCGUUGUGGUUGUAAGAACAUCAGUUGUUGUAGUUGGAGCUGCAGUGGUUGUCGUAGUAGGUUCUGGAGUUGUAGUGGUCGUCGGAGCAGCAAUUGUUGUAGUUAGGGCUGCAAUGGUUGUCGUAGGGGCAGCUGAUGUGGUUGAAGUAGAUGCUAAAGUUGUUGUGGGAGCCACAGUUGUUGUAGGUGUUGCUGUUGUGGUUGUCGUAGGAGCUGAAGUUGUAGUUGUUGUAGAAGGUGCUUCGGUCGUUGUGGUUGUAAGAGCAGCAGUUGUAGUUGGAGCUGCACUGGUUGUCGUAGUAGGUUCUGGAGUUGUAGUGGUCGUAGGAGCAGCAGUUGUUGUAGUUAGGGCUGCAGUAGUUGUCGUAGCGGCUGCUGCUGUGGUUGAAGUAGAGGCUAAAGUUGUUGUAGGAGCUGCAGUUGUCGUGGGAGCUACAGUUGUUGUAGGUGUUGCUGUUGUGGUUGUCGUAGGAGCUGAAGUUGUAGUUGUUGUAGAAGGUGCUUCGGUCGUUGUGGUUGUAAGAACAUCAGUUGUUGUAGUUGGAGCUGCAGUGGUUGUCGUAGUAGGUUCUGGAGUUGUAGUGGUCGUCGGAGCAGCAAUUGUUGUAGUUAGGGCUGCAAUGGUUGUCGUAGGGGCAGCUGAUGUGGUUGAAGUAGAUGCUAAAGUUGUUGUGGGAGCUACAGUUGUUGUAGGUGUUGCUGUUGUGGUUGUCGUAGGAGCUGAAGUUGUAGUUGUUGUAGAAGGUGCUUCGGUCGUUGUGGUUGUAAGAGCAGCAGUUGUAGUUGGAGCUGCACUGGUUGUCGUAGUAGGUUCUGGAGUUGUAGUGGUCGUAGGAGCAGCAGUUGUUGUAGUUAGGGCUGCAGUAGUUGUCGUAGCGGCUGCUGCUGUGGUUGAAGUAGAGGC